rnacentral:lncRNA from 1 species
GGGUGUUAAAUACCACAUUAUUUGAAAGUUGGGAGAUUGUUGGACCUUACCCUUCCUGGUGGGUUUUUAACCUACUGCUGUUACUAAUACAAGGCUUGAACUGCUUCUGGUCUUACUUGAUCGUAAAAAUAGCUUGCAAAGCUAUUUCAAAAGGCAAGGUAUCCAAGGAUGAUCGAAGUGAUAUUGAGUCCAGCUCAGAUGAGGAGGACCCAGAACCGCCGGGGAAGAGCCCCCACACUGCGACCACCACCAAUGGAACCAGUGGUACCAACGGGUAUCUCCUCACUGGCCCUUGCUCCCUGGAUGAUUAAUUCCUACAAACCAGAAGUCCCAAACAAAGUGAACUGUUUAUUCCUGGAAGUCUUUACUAAGUUGCAAAUGCGGUUCCUUUCAUAGUAUCUCAGCACCAGAAACAAAAAUUAAGAUUAUCAAAGCAUUUUGAGUAGUGCACUGCCGUAUGUCCUGUCUGUGAAUGAAGAAGUCCCGUUCUCUAUGUGUAGGCAUGCUGUAUGUAACUGGCACAAGGGAACAGUAUUUGCAUUUGCACUGUCUUAGAAUAUUAUUUAUUUUUUGUAUUUGUUUGUAAGUCUGUGGACAAAAAAGGGUUUCCUCACUCCUUUUACUCUCUGGGUUCGUGACAGGGAAGGAGACGCUCCACCUGCUUCUACCCCUUUCUAAUGCUAUAACCCAAUCCGCCGGUCGCAUUGGCUUAAUUUGUCACUUAGAGCAAGCAAAAGUCAGUGCAAGGUUCUCGUACAGCUCCAAAUAGCUUUGCUUUGUUUGUGUUACAGUGCCCAUUUUGAACUGGCCUGUACAGUCUCAGUGACCCUUCUCCUGGUAUAAACUUUAAACAGGAUGAGCUCGCUUUUGUAAUUGUCACUCUUCUUGGGUCAAUUAGCUGUUCCAAUUCAAGAGUGUGGUUACUGGAGGACUUAAAAAUGUUUGUGCAUAUUAAAUUGCUGUGGAAUAGACUUGAUUUCUUGUGCACACAGCCAAGAUUUUUUCAAUGAGAAUGUAACUAGGUGGGGAUUAACUUUGCAGGUACAGGGAUUUUUUUUGUUUGUUUGUUUGUUUUUAAUUCUCUAUUAUGGGAUCAGUGCUCUGGCUCUAAAAGGAGAUUUUUACUUAAGGGCAUAGUUACCAAGAAAUCCCUCUUCUUACUGGGAAUCUGUCCCAGGACCUGAGAACAGCAUAAAGAGGGGAACAGAUUUCAACCAGAUUUGACCACCACCCCUGUCAUUAGCACAGUCUUCUGUCAUGUCGUGAAAAGAAAGGAGAAGCUAAGUGUAUUUGGGGACAGAAAAAGACUUUCUAAGAGUUGGCCAAAGUCAGUUCUGGCGCAAAGCACUUUAUUGCAAACAGCUUUCGAGAAAGUGCUCUAUCUUGUAUUUGAUCUGGAUGUUUUUUAUUUUUCUGAGCAAAAUAAAGCCAAUGGGAGAAAGACCAUUUUACCUUUUGUCUUUUCUCCUUAAACUUAACCCAUAACAUAACAGCAGUUCCUGUUACUAGAAACUGAGCAGUGUUACACUUUAAGUCCCUUUGUUUGCUUCUUUGGAGACCUGUUCAGUUUCCAGGAAUUUUUAUUCAAAUAGUGCUAGUUCUGGAAACACAAUAAAAAUUGUAUUCAGCAAUGAGAAAGUUAACUAAAAAGUUUAAGUUUUAGUCUCUUACAGGCCAGUGUUAUUUAUGAAUAGAAAAGGAAAUCAUACACAUCAACCAAAGAUUUUAUCUCUUUUCUCUCAACUUUUAGUAAGGGGAAUAAAAAGGUAUUAGAACUAUUUCAUAAAUCAGAAAGACCAUCAUCUAAAGCAAGAGUCCCAAACCACAAUACAGUGAUAGCAAUGGAUGAGUCAGGGCUAGUGAAGGCACCAGAAAAACACUAGGGAGUGUAUGUCCCGCUCAAAACCUUUCAUUCAAUUCAGUUUUUUUAAAAAAUGGAAAUAAAGCUUCGUGCCCACAGUGUGUAACCUGAGUGUUAAAAGUAUACUCCCGAACAAAAACCUUUCUCUGUAAUAUUAAAACUUCCCCCACUUAUUUACAAAACAGUAUGUUUCUGGUAUGGUCCAUAGUAAUAAUUAAAGAGACUUAGGAAUAUGUCUGCUUGUUUAUUGAGGAAAUAGUGUGACUACUUCUCCUUGUAAAGCCUUAUUAUUUCAUUUCUCAGAACAGGGAUGUGCCUAGGAGUGUGAUUUGUGGAUGGUUGAGUUUGUGGGACCGAUCCUUAAACAUCAGAAGUACUUUUAGUCAGCUGAACAUCUGCUAAAAUGUAGAUAUAUAAAAAGUGUCAGCAAGGAUGUUAUACCUAAACAUUUUUUCAGAAGGUGAAAGUUUCUUAUCAACCAAAAUAUGGAACAGAAGAGUGACUUCUGCCUCGCUUUAGCGUCUAGAGCAAGUCCGCUGAUGGGUGCAAUAAACCAGAGUCACAGUGUGUUCAGAUUUGGAUCAUCUGACACUCUUGAGCAGAGAAGAAUAAUUUCAGAAGCUCUGCUUGUAAAUUAAAGGUUUAGAAGCAUUGCAUGAAAUGAAGACAAUUAAGUCUAUCCUUAGCAAAGACAUCUGAACAAGCUUUUGUUUUUCCUAAAAGUCCCUUAGAAGGAGGAUUGAGAAUUCUCAGAGCCUCUCUGACCAAUGGCAGUACCUUAACACAGUCCUCUAUGUAUGUAUAGAUUUUUAUUUAACUUGACAUUUUAGUGCAAAGGUUCUUUUCAACUAGGCAAGAUGGCAUUUGUAGGCUUUUUAAGAUGAAGAAUUAAUAUAUCUUUGUCGACUGCUCUCCCAUGGUGGCCUGAUGAGGCUGAGAGAGAAAUAUAUGUGCCAGAUCCUGUCUUCUCCCUAUGCCAGGCCAUAGCUUUGGAAGUGUGUUUUGUAAGUUCAACUGUAGGUUAGUGAAAAUGUUGUUUCCCAUUAAUUAACUUAGCCCAUCCUGGUCACAAUCAACCCUUACCAAGGUACAAAGGGGUAUGUAGGAGGGAAUCUAGAAGAAGUAACCUUUUAUUCACCAAUAUUAGAGCUUUUCUAGAUUGCUUGAGGGGGUGUAGAAAAUCAAGUAGAAUUCGGCCUUGGGUCACUAAAUAAUAUAAAAAUGUGUGAUCUAUGUAGGUAUAUGUGUGUUUCUCAAAAAAAAAAAAAAGUGAUAAAACCAAAAUAUCACCAACUCAUCCUUAUCCGUAUUCUUUUCAUCAAAACUAUCCGCCAUGUGUAAUAGAAACUUCCCGCCUCCCUGUCCACUUCCUGUUUGUGCUACCCACACAGUUAAGAGUGGUAGGCUCCUUUCAGUCUCUUGGCCUCAGAGCUAAGAUCAUGGAAGGCUUAAUGUUAGCAUCUAAAUAGUUCCCAUUUCCAAAUUUAGUGGUGCAAAUAUUGAGAAAAAGGGAGCAACUAUAAGUAUUUUGGAUUAUUAAACUAAGUGCUUGGAAAAAAUCCAUAUGAUUGCUGCUUCACCCCAGGAUUUUAUUUAAUAUCCAACUCCCACCAGACUGUGAGAUAGAUGGCAUCCUAAGGUACCAUCAGGUAAUGAAACAGGCAUCUGACAAAGAUGAACUAGGAAGAGAGGUAGGCUCUUCAAGAAAAGCAAGCCAUUGGGUGAGAGGAAUAACUCUUUAGCAAGAUAAAAUAAGGUCACCGUUAGCCAAAAGGGUGGGUGAACCUCAAAAUGUCCAGUUCUGUUGCCAGACUUUCCAUUCUGAGUAUUUGGUAGAAUUUGAAUUGGAGUCAACUGAAUGCUUGCACCUUAGGUAGAAAAUAGUCCAAAUCUUCCACUCUGUGUAUUUCAACCUCGUUGUUAUUUGGGCAUGAAAAUCAUAUUUCAUUCCAGCUUACCUGAGUCGUUACACAAGAGCUCUUCUGGGAGAACUUUAUGGACACCCAUGAUUGUUCCCAAUCUGGUCAUGGUUUUGCAUUGAUAGUUAUUUUUGUCCCCUUCUUGGAAAUAUUAAUGCCAAAGUUGCCUGAAUAUUUGAGUAUUUUCUCUUAAUCUGAAGAAUAAAAAAGUAUACAGAAUAAUUCCAAAGGUAUUAAAUAAUUUUCUUUGUCAGUAUGUGUGAUGAUGUCAUUAUGUCCAAAGAGGCUUGAAGAAAUCCUUUGGAAAUAGAGGUUAAAUGUUUACAUUUCACGUGCUAUUUGAAGUCUUAAGAUUCUAAUUAGUUUACCUUUUUUUUCUUUGUCUUUAGCUGGUUCCUCCUUUGUGGAUAAAUAGUAGUAGCCAUGAAAUGUAUCUCACGUUCAAAUAGAAAAAAAUCAAAUCAGAUCCAAGUGGCCUGACGGGAAAGUGAUUAACAAGGCACUUUCAGCUUCUUAGUAACGUUUAUGGAGAAAGAAAAUGCAGUUAGCUCUAAAUACUGUACUUUCUGUCCAGCAUACUGUCCAUGGAAGGAAGACUCUUAAUCACAAACAGUUCAUGCAAAAUGCAACAAGCUAUUUUUUUAAAACGAAGACAUCUUUGUCCCCAGAGUCGAUUUAAGUUUCUUUUGGUAAAAUGAAAUUGUGCCAUUCUCAGAUUACCAGAUAGUAGUUAGCACUGGUUCACUGUGGCCACAUUUUAACUCUUCAUCAGUACUAGGCUGGGAAAACACUCUGGUUUGCAUUCAUAUGCAUGGUCCCCUCCCCUCCCCUAGAGGGCGCUCAGUAGAUGCUGAGGAUGCCCGUCCACUCGCCCACUCUACGCUGUUGGAACUCCUCUAACAUAUACUCAGAGGAAGCCUAUCUGAGGCUGGGUUUUUUGGAGAAAAUUGUAUUAGAGAAAUAAACAUCAUAAGAAACUAUUAACAACAUCAGCAGGCACCCAAAGGAGAACCUUAGUCUUUCCAAUGUGAGUUCAACCAGAAGCCUUUUAAAAGGCAUGUUACCAAAUGGCCACAAGCUAAGACCCCAUCGGAUCAAAGAGAUGAAAGUCUCUGCAGGCAGAUGGCACCUGAUAUGGUCUCUCUUCAAGACUAAGCAUUCUCAAGAUGGCUCAGGAAGGAAUGGGAGGGGACCAUCAGGCUAAGGUCUCUCUUUCACUCAUAUUCCUUGAAGCCUCCUGGAACUCUUAAUAAAAGGAAGCCAGAAUAUUGUCACUUGUUGGCUGUUGAGUUGCCAGCAGCGUUUGUGUCACUUGUGUACCACACUUCCUUCUCUGCCUGAUUCCAUUUUUCUUAAAAAAUAUUGUGCCCCUGUGAGCCUAUUUCCUUGAACACAAAUCCAUGAAAGUUCGGCUUCCUAUUUUGGUAUAUGUUGCAUGGCCUGGCAACCAGGGAACAACAGCUGUUGGUGUAAUUUCUAUGUUAAGUGAAAAAUUAGAUUUUAUAGAGACAGUUUUUUUUUUCUUUUGGAUCUACAGUAAUUUUUUUAAACUGUCAUUGUGAAACUACCCUUAGAAAAUGAAGGGUUUUUAUAGAUUUGUUGCCAAAGGGAAGUUUGCUCUGUAAUAGGAACAGUUAUGUGGUGAUUCUGGAACUUUACCUUAGAGCUUCAUUCAUGUAAACAUGGAAAACACCCUCCAAGUUUGAUCUCCCAAAGUUUCAUAAAGCCUCUUAGCUCAUGAUUUUCAUCAAGUCUUUACCCACAUGAUCAGUUACCUCCAUAGCCAUUUGGUGUCAUGCUAGGGGGAAGGGGUUAGUUUGGGGAUUUGAUUUUUUUUUAACUUGCUGUGAGAAAUAGGAUAGGUGACAAAACCUUUCUUAUUUUCUUAAGACAAUUCAGUGCUUGAGCAUCUCUGUCAGAAAUGGAAUGAUGUACUGUUAGCCAAUUAGAAUUAUUUUAUGUAUUGUUAAUUGUGUUUUGCUGAUUUUUAUAUGAAAAUAUAAUUAUUCAUUCUUGAUCUCUGGAAGUAAUCAUUAUUAUGAGGAUCAUUUUACUUUGGAAACACUUUCAUAAUAAAGAUAAGUAUU